rnacentral:rRNA from 1 species
GAACAAAUAAUCCUCCGAAUGAUUAUAGCAAAGACUCACAAGUCAAAGCAACACUAGUAUCUUAUUGACCCAAAAAUAUUUUGAUCAACGGACCAAGUUACCCUAGGGAUAACAGCGCAAUCCUAUUUAAGAGUUCAUAUCGACAAUUAGGGUUUACGACCUCGAUGUUGGAUCAGGACAUCCCAAUGGUGCAGAAGCUAUUAAUGGUUCGUUUGUUCAACGAUUAAAGUCCUACGUGAUCUGAGUUCAGACCGGAGUA